rnacentral:rRNA from 1 species
GUUAGGAAUAUUGGACAAUGGGCGAAAGCCUGAUCCAGCCAUGCCGCGUGAACGAUGAAGGCCUUCGGGUUGUAAAGUUCUUUAGCCGAUGAUUAUAAUGACUGUAGUCGGAAAAUAAGCCCCGGCUAACUUCGUGCCAGCAGCCGCGGUAAUACGAAGGGGGCGAGCGUUAUUCGGAAUCACUGGGCGUAAAGCGUGCGUAGGCGGUUUUGUAAGUUAGGAGUGAAAGCCCAGGGCUCAACCUUGGAAUUGCUCUCAAAACUGCAAGGCUCGAAUUCGGGAGAGGAUAGCGGAAUUGUCAGUGUAGCAGUGAAAUGCGUAGAUAUUGACAGGAACACCAGUGGCGUAAGCGGCUAUCUGGACCGAUAUUGACGCUGAGGCACGAAAGCGUGGGGAUCAAACAGGAUUAGAAACCCUAGUAGUCC